rnacentral:rRNA from 1 species
UGAACGCUGGCGGCGUGCCUAAUACAAGCAAGUCGAGCGAACAGACGAGGAGCUUGCUCCUCUGACGUUAGCGGCGGACGGGUGAGUAACACGUGGAUAACCUACCUAUAAGACUGGGAUAACUUCGGGAAACCGGAGCUAAUACCGGAUAAUAUAUUGAACCGCAUGGUUCAAUAGUGAAAGACGGUUUUGCUGUCACUUAUAGAUGGAUCCGCGCCGCAUUAGCUAGUUGGUAAGGUAACGGCUUACCAAGGCAACGAUGCGUAGCCGACCUGAGAGGGUGAUCGGCCACACUGGAACUGAGACACGGUCCAGACUCCUACGGGAGGCAGCAGUAGGGAAUCUUCCGCAAUGGGCGAAAGCCUGACGGAGCAACGCCGCGUGAGUGAUGAAGGUCUUCGGAUCGUAAAACUCUGUUAUUAGGGAAGAACAAAUGCGUAAGUAACUAUGCACGUCUUGACGGUACCUAAUCAGAAAGCCACGGCUAACUACGUG